UAGUAACGGCGAGUGAAGCGGGAAGAGCUCAAGCUUAAAAUCUCUGCGCGAGUUUCGCGUGGCGAAUUGUAGUCUAUAGAUGCGUGGUCAGCGUUGGCGCUCGGGGCAAGUUCCUUGGAAGAGGACAGCAUGGAGGGUGAUACUCCCGUUCAUCYCUGAGUGGCUGGCGCGUACGACCCGUUUUCUUUGAGUCGCGUUGUUUGGGAAUGCAGCGCAAAGUAGGUGGUAAUUCCAUCUAAAGCUAAAUAUUGGUGCGAGACCGAUAGCGAACAAGUACCGUGAGGGAAAGAUGAAAAGAACUUUGAAAAGAGAGUUAAAGAGUACCUGAAACUGCUGAAAGGGAACCGAAUCGUUUCCAGUGUCUAUAAUCCGCGGCAUAUUUCAUCGGCGAGUGUGUGCGUGCGUGYGCUUUGGCAGUGGCUUUUUUGGCUGCGCUGGGCGUGUGCUGUGCGUGUGCUUGGUGGUGCCCUGUGUUGCGGUGGGACGUCAAGGUCAGUUCGUGUGCUGCGGGAAAUGGCUGCCGAGGAGGUAGGGCUUACGCUCCGCGUUUGUCUGUUAUAUCUUGGUGGACGAGUCGUCGUGGUUGGGACUGAGGUGCCUACAACGUGCUUUUGAGCGAGUGUGUGUCUCUGGAUGCGUGCUGUGCGGAUAGCUUGCUAUGCGUGUGGCGUUGUGUUUGGAUUGGCGUGCGCUUUUGCUUGUUGCCGUUCGGGACGUUGACGAAAUGGAGCGAUCCGACCCGUCUUGAAACACGGACCAAGGAGUCUAACAUGUGUGCAAGUGUUAGGGUGUGGAAACCCGAGCGCGAAAUGAAAGUGAAGGGCAGCUUUUGCUGUCUGAGGUAGGAAACGCGUGCGUCUUCGGGCGUGUGCGUGGCACUAUCGACCGAUCAUGAACCUUCGUGGUGAAAGAUUUGAGUUUGAGCACAUAUGUUGGUACCCGAAAGAUGGUGAACUAUGGCCUGAGUAGGGUGAAG
rnacentral:rRNA from 1 species